rnacentral:siRNA from 1 species
UUGAUUUCAGCUUUGGUACACA